GAUGAACGCUGGCGGCGUGCCUAACACAUGCAAGUCGAACGAAUUACUUUAAAGGAAGUUUUCGGAUGGAAUUUAAAGUAGUUAGUGGCGGACGGGUGAGUAACGCGUGGGAAACCUGCCCUAUACAGGGGGAUAGCCUCGGGAAACUGGGAUUAAUACCCCAUAAAAACUCUAGUAUCGCAUGAUACAUGAGCCAAAGAUUUAUCGGUAUAGGAUGGUCCCGCGUCUGAUUAGCUAGUUGGUGAGGUAACGGCUCACCAAGGCGACGAUCAGUAGCCGGCCUGAGAGGGUGAACGGCCACACUGGAACUGAGACACGGUCCAGACUCCUACGGGAGGCAGCAGUGGGGAAUAUUGCACAAUGGGGGAAACCCUGACCCAGCGACGCCGCGUGGGUGAAGAAAUCCUUCGGGAUGUAAAGCCCUGUUGUAUGGGAAGAGCGGAAGACGGUACCAUACGAGGAAGCCCCGGACAAACUACGUGCCAGCAGCCGCGGUAAACAUACUCGUAA
rnacentral:rRNA from 1 species